GCUGGUUAUCAGUCAUUGCUUCCUUUGCUAGGGAGAUGCAAGAUGUCCCAGCAAGUUAGAAAUAGUUUCACACUGUCAUGGCCACCUGUCAUGGACCUGUCUGCCCCGACUAUCUCCUUCAGAUGGACUGAAUUGCCACGAGGUGUGGUCCUAAACACAUCCUCCCUCCCUUAACUGUGAGGCAUUUGGUGUAAAGAGCAUCAAUCCAGACUUCUAAGCCAGAUGCCACAGGCUUCACUUUUGCCCUUGGAUCUUUUCCGUUUGCCGGGUUCUGACAUCAUUUGUAUAUCACAUGGGUUACCGUCUGGCCAAAACCCCUCCUAGAUGAUGCUUCAGCCUCCAUAACAUCCUUCUGGACCUUCAAAUAAGGGAAGCC
rnacentral:lncRNA from 1 species